rnacentral:sRNA from 1 species
UUGUCAGCACUGGGACCCUCAGUCCUCUGUCCAUUGACAGGACAGGUACAGCACAGGCAACAGCAGUGCGAGCCUUCCACGCUGCUUCCCCAACACACUACAGCCCUAUCUCAAAAGGUCUGUUCAUAUUGUUGCUGGGGAUGUGAAUGGCAGCUUGGGUAGACAUACCCGUGCUCUCUGCGCUCUAGC